rnacentral:lncRNA from 1 species
GUCUUAUUACCUUAUUAUGAGCUUCCCGAUAAAUGGGUAGAAGGAAUACAUUCGUAGGUGAUAUAUUUUGAUUCUAAAAUCCAAACAGGCUUGCCAAGCACUAUGCCUCUUUCUUUGGUAGGUAGAUGCAACCUGUUGUUUUUUAAUUUUUUAUUUUUUAUUUUUUUUUUGAGACAGAGUCUCGCUCUGUCACCCAGGCUGGAGUGCAGUGAGGUGAUCUCAGCUCACUCAACCUCUGCCUCCCAGGUUCAAGCGAUUCUCCUGCCUCAGCCUCCCGAGUGACUGGAAUUACAGGCGCUGACCACCACGCCUGGCUAAUUUUUGUAUUUUUAGUAGAGACAGGGUUUCGCCGUGUUAGCCAGGCUGGUCUCGAACUCCUGACCUCAAGUGAUCUGCCCACCUCGGCCUCCCAAAGUGCUGGUAUUACAGGCAUGAGCAAUUGCCCCUGGCCAUUUUUUACUUUAAAAAGUAUAUCUUGAUAUGAACUAGACCUGUAGACCUUUAUGAACUUCACUGAAGUGGCAAGCCUUUGAACGUUCUAUCAUGUUACCAAUACGAUGGACUAGUGUGAUGUUCUAUAAAAUAUUAAGACAAUCAAGAUUCUCCAGGCUACAUGAUGACAAUGUGCAGGAGCACUGCCAUAGCCUGAGGGAGCAUGAUGAGGCCGAACGCAAGUGCUGGGACACUGGAUUCCACUGUUCCUGGACUGAAUUGCUGCUUGGGAAUGAGGAAGAAGCAACGUGAUACCAACAGGCAUUGGAAGAUUGUGCCACUCUCCACUUCCAGCCUUGAAGUCUCCUCUAAGGACCCCUAUUCUCUGAGCCUAAAAAAUCCACCUGGCAGGGGAAAAAUGUGGUUUGAAGAGCCCGACUCCAGCAUCACAAAGCCAACCAGAAGUGGGACUGGAAGCUGAGCACCCACAGCUUAGUAAUUGGUAUGGUCUACCCCUUUGGCUACUUGGAUUCGUAUGCACAUGACUCAACUCACUUAAAUUUCCAUACAAUCACAAAAUUGACUGUUUCUACCUUCCUACAAACAAAGGUAUUUUCACUUUCUCCCCCAGUAUGAGGAGACACAAAGUUCAGGCAGCAAUGGUAUUCAUAUGGGGGAGAGUCUCAUGAUCUAUUCUGGGCUAUAUAUUAACUACUGGUCAAAUUCAGUCAUAGUCCAAUCUGAAUAUUCUGUUUCUAAACACUACCUUGCUUUUUUUUCCUAUAGAGAUGAGGUCUUGCUAUGAUGCCCAGGCUGGUCUCAAACUUCUCGCCUCAAGCCAUCCUCCCAUCUCAGCCUCCCAAAGUGCUGCGAAUACAGGUGUGAGCCGCUGUGCCUGGCCUAAACACUACUUUUUCAUCCCUGCUCUCCUCCUUAGUUUCCCUCAGUUGGUUCAGAAUUUGGGUUGGGAAGAGGGGGUAUUAUAUAUUGACCCUCUUAAACUCUAAGUGUGCUUAUCAUUGUGUUUAUUAGCUAUUGUGCCCAUUUACAUUUGUAAGAGCAGUAUAAGUGAGUUCCAGUCAUUCCACAUCAUCCACUUAGUAUUGUCAGACGUUUUAAUUUUGCCAAUCUAUGAAUGAGAAAUUACAUCUCACUAUUGCUUAAUUUGCAUUUCCCUUGUGGAGGAGGCUGAGCAUCAUUUUGCCAUAUGUUUAUUGAACUUGAGUUUCUCUUCCGCUCAUGUAUUUUUUUUUUUUUUUUUGAGGCAGGGUGUGGCUCUGUUGCCCAGGCUGGAGUGUAGUGGUGCCAUCAUGGCUUACUGAAGCCUUGACCUCCUGGGCUCAAGUAAUACUCCCACCUCAGCCUCUCAAGUAACUGGGGCUACAGGCGUGAGCACCAUGCUAGGCUAAUUUUUUUUUUUAUUUUUAGUAGAGAUGAGGCCUUGCUAUGUUGCCCAGGCUGGUCUUGAACUCCUGACCUUGUAAUCUUUCUGCCUCAGCCUCCUAAAAUAAUUGGGAUUACAGACGUGAGACACUUCUCC